rnacentral:rRNA from 1 species
UGGAAAGAGCCGCCAUAGUGGGUGAUAGCCCCGUAUCCGAAACCUGAGUCCAGUGAAAUCGAGUAGGACGGGACACGAGACAUCCUGUCUGAACAUGGGGGGACCAUCCUCCAAGCCUAAGUACUCCUUAUCGACCGAUAGUGAACAAGUACCGUGAGGGAAAGGUGAAAAGAACCCCUGUUAGGGGAGUGAAAUAGUACCUGAAACUGGAUGCCUACAAACAGUGGGAGGCCGCAAGGCUGACCGCGUACCUUUUGUAUAAUGGGUCAGCGACUUAUUUUCAGUGGCGAGCUUAACCGAAUAGGGGAGGCGUAGCGAAAGCGAGUCUUAAUAGGGCGAAUAGUUUGUUGCAUUAGACCCGAAACCAAGUGAUCUAGCCAUGAGCAGGUUGAAGGUUGGGUAACACCAACUGGAGGACCGAACCCAUACACGUUGCAAUGUGUCGGGAUGACUUGUGGCUAGGGGUGAAAGGCCAAUCAAACUUGGAGAUAGCUCGUACUCCCCGAAAUAUAUUUAGGUAUAGCGUCUGGUUUUGUCUGUCCGGAGGUAGAGCACUGAUUCGGCUAGGGCCCUUCACCGGGUACCAAACCGAGACAAACUCCGAAUGCCGGCACAGAGCCACCAGGCAGUCAGUCGUUGGGUGAUAACGUCCUACGGCGAGAGGGGAACAACCCAGACCACCAGCUAAGGCCCCCAAAUCCGGGCUAAGUUGAUCAAAGAAAGUUGAGUUGCUCAGACAACUAGGAGGUUGGCUUAGAAGCAGCCAUCCUUUAAAGAAAGCGUAAUAGCUCACUAGUCGAGUCGGCCUGCGCGGAAGAUGUAACGGGGCUCAAACCAUACACCGAAGCUACGGGUAUCACGUAAGUGAUGCGGUAGAGGAGCGUUCUGUAAGCCUGUGAAGGGUGACCCGCGAGGGCACUUGGAGGUAUCAGAAGUGAGAAUGCUGACAUGAGUAGCGAUAAAGAGUGUGAGAAACACUCUCGCCGAAAUCCCAAGGGUUCCUGCGCAAGGCUAAUCCGCGCAGGGUGAGCCGGCCCCUAAGCCGAGGGCGAAAGCCGUAGGCGAUGGGAACCAGGUGAAUAUUCCUGGGCCAGACGGUGGUGACGAAUAGUGGAAGCUGUACGGGCUUAACGGAUUGUCCGUGCAGUAAAGCUGUUCCAGGAAAUAACCCCGUCGUGAGACCGUACCCGAAACCGACACAGGUGGGAUGGUAGAGCAUACCAAGGCGCUUGAGAGAACUAUG